AUCGCAACGUAUUUCAUGCAACCCUUGUCGGAAUUGUUGCGGCUUGCACAAUGGCUUUCUAUUUGCCAGGAGUCGCUC
rnacentral:tRNA from 1 species